rnacentral:lncRNA from 1 species
GGGAAUAUACAUAUAAACAUCAAUAUGGAAGAAUAACAGAUCUGGCUUUUCAAGGACUAUCCAUGAUUUGCAACAAUAGCACUCAUUUUAGAGCCUUUUCGGAGUAUGUCCUACUGGCAUAAUGAAUAGCCAAACCCAAGAUUAAAGAAAAACUACAGGCGAAAAGCAUACUACUAAUGACUUUUCAGGCAUCGCUGAACUCCUAUAAAAUCCCUUCCGUCACCCCGUCAGACAGAGAGAAAGAGAGAAAAGAGAAAGCGAGAAAUUACCUGGACAAGCCGGUGCCGAAUCUGGAGCCGGAGGGGGGCGCGGUGGUUCGCCGGUCACGCGGUGGUUCGCUGUCGAAGAGAGGGAGGGCAGACAGAGACGCG